AGUGAGUAGGUGUAACUUCAUGUAGUUAUAUAAACCUAUUGACACAGGUACUGUAUGGUGCAGUAUAACACAGGAACACCUUUUGAAAGUCACAGCCUGGGUUCGUUGUUCACCUCAACCACAGCACGCAUACACAGCAUUGCGCAGCAUGUUUAAAUCAGAGUGCAAAGGGAAGGACAAGAAGACAAAAAAGAGCCAUGACAAGGAUAAGAAGAAGAAAGGUGGGGAAUGCAAGGGCGGGGGAAAAAAGGAGCAUCACGAAAAGAAAAAGAAGGAUGGUGAGAGUGGGUCCUCCAGCUCGUCAUCUGAAUGCUCUGACUCGGACUGAAAGGUCAAAGGAAAGAAGGAAGCAACAAAGACUCUCUGAUUUACUGCUAUAAGCUGCAUUCAUUUGUUGUUUUCAUUAUAGUCCGUUCACUAAGGACCUUUGUUUAAAGCUGGGGUAGGUGAUCAUUGGGCUCGAAUCUGGGCAGAAGAAGAAAGAUUUAGAAAAAAACGCACCCCCUCCUCUCCAGCCAGCCUCUCGGGGAUGCCUGCCACAAUUUUGAUUUGUAGGUAAGGCUGCCUCCUGGCUGAGAGCUGCCCUCAUUGGAUGUUAGCUACCGCCAGCCAUGAAAUUCCAUGAGAAUCUGUCCCGGGACAAACACAGAUACCAGAUCCUAGAGCAGUUGGUUUAUAACCAGCUGUCAAAAUGUGAAGAUAAUUUCACCAAAUAUUACCAAAACAAAAUAGCCUAGCCCAGCUUUAAUAAAUACUCCUUUCUGCCUUUUAGCUCAUUUUAUUUUUUGAAAGAUUUUUUGGCAAUAGCACAUGCUUAUUAAAGUCAUGUACCCUCCUUUCAGCACAAACACAUCUGCUUACAUGUUCACCUGUUACAAUGUAAGGAUGACAUUAAUCUGAACUACGAAAUGCAAUAAAAACAGAAACUAACAGAAA